rnacentral:rRNA from 1 species
UCGAUUUACCUUCGGGUAAUGAGGAUGGCGGACGGGUGAGUAACGCGUAAGGAACUUGCCUCUUGGUCUGGGACAACUGUUGGAAACGACAGCUAAUACCGGAUAUUAUGAGAUUCUCGCAUGGGAAACUUAUGAAAGCUAUAUGCGCCAAGAGAGAGCCUUGCGUUCCAUUAGCUAGUUGGUGGGGUAACGGCCCACCAAGGCGACGAUGGAUAGCCGGCCUGAGAGGGUGAACGGCCACAAGGGGACUGAGACACGGCCCUUACUCCUACGGGAGGCAGCAGUGGGGAAUAUUGGACAAUGGGCCACAAGCCUGAUCCAGCAAUUCUGUGUGCACGAUGAAGGUCUUCGGAUUGUAAAGUGCUUUCAGUUGGGAAGAAGAAAGUGACGGUACCAACAGAAGAAGCGACGGCUAAAUACGUGCCAGCAGCCGCGGUAAUACGUAUGUCGCAAGCGUUAUCCGGAUUUAUUGGGCGUAAAGCGCGUCUAGGCGGAAAAAUAAGUCUGAUGUUAAAAUGCGGGGCUCAACUCCGUAUUGCGUUGGAAACUGUUUUUCUAGAGUACUGGAGAGGUGGGCGGAACUACAAGUGUAGAGGUGAAAUUCGUAGAUAUUUGUAGGAAUGCCGAUGGAGAAGUCAGCUCACUGGACAGAUACUGACGCUGAAGCGCGAAAGCGUGGGGAGCAAACAGGAUUAGAUACCCUGGGUAGUCCACGCCGUAAACGAUGAUCACU